rnacentral:tRNA from 1 species
GGAGAGGUGGCAGAGUGGCCGAACGCGCCGGUUUCGAAAACCGGUAUACCUUCACGGGUAUCGGGGGUUCGAAUCCCCCCCUCUCCGC